rnacentral:rRNA from 1 species
AUGCAGUCGAACGAUGAACCACUUCGGUGGGGAUUAGUGGCGAACGGGUGAGUAACACGUGGGCAAUCUGCCCUGCACUCUGGGACAAGCCCUGGAAACGGGGUCUAAUACCGGAUACUGACCUUCACAGGCAUCUGUGAUGGUCGAAAGCUCCGGCGGUGCAGGAUGAGCCCGCGGCCUAUCAGCUUGUUGGUGAGGUAGUGGCUCACCAAGGCGACGACGGGUAGCCGGCCUGAGAGGGCGACCGGCCACACUGGGACUGAGACACGGCCCAGACUCCUACGGGAGGCAGCAGUGGGGAAUAUUGCACAAUGGGCGAAAGCCUGAUGCAGCGACGCCGCGUGAGGGAUGACGGCCUUCGGGUUGUAAACCUCUUUCAGCAGGGAAGAAGCGAAAGUGACGGUACCUGCAGAAGAAGCGCCGGCUAACUACGUGCCAGCAGCCGCGGUAAUACGUAGGGCGCGAGCGUUGUCCGGAAUUAUUGGGCGUAAAGAGCUCGUAGGCGGCUUGUCACGUCGGUUGUGAAAGCCCGGGGCUUAACCCCGGGUCUGCAGUCGAUACGGGCAGGCUAGAGUUCGGUAGGGGAGAUCGGAAUUCCUGGUGUAGCGGUGAAAUGCGCAGAUAUCAGGAGGAACACCGGUGGCGAAGGCGGAUCUCUGGGCCGAUACUGACGCUGAGGAGCGAAAGCGUGG